CGGCCCGCGCGCCAAGCGUCAGGGGCGCCACGCGCGGAGGGGGCGGGGCUACGGCGGCUCGGAGGCCUCGCGGGUGCGGCCAGACCCUAGACCCGCGAAACUCGGACUUUGGCCCGCGCCCACCUGUCGCUACAAUAGCGGCCCCAGUACUUUCUGCGUUUCUCUUCCGCUUGCUCUCCUCAUCCUUUCCCCUCGAACCAGAGGAGCAAAUCCACUGGGGAGCUCUACAGGGUGGGGCCGCGGGCAGCCCGCUCCCGCGGUCAAGGCCUCCCCACGCUUGCUACUUCCAGACCUGUUCUCAGACGUCGGUGCCCGCCGGGUGCUCCGCGAGUUCCCUCCAUCCCUCCCCAGCCGUCGCGCGUCCUCAGUCUCCCAGGAAAGCCCUACAACAGCCUGCUGUUACAGUCCUGCUGUUUCUGCGUCUCGCCCAACUCCUCCUUGGCCUCCCUUAUCCCUCGUGUUCUGUUCAUUUCUUGAAAGACAAGUGGGAGGCCCGUGUUUUGUGUGGAAUCUGCUAGACAGUGCGGCGCUUUUACUAGGCUUGGGUUACCAAUGAAACACUUCUUGUGAGUGUUUGAGCCCUGUCUUUUAUAUAUCUCUUCAGGACCGGUCCACGUUACUUAAAAGUAACAGUGUUACCAAGAGCUCCCGUGCCUUGGCGCAUUUUCAGCUUUUUAAGUAUUCUGCAUUUGAUCUGCCUUACUUCCUGACUUGCUGGUAAGGGAUUCAGCUUCUCAAGGAGAUCUUUCUAAUGGCCAAGUUGGUGGUGAAAGCAAAGAUGGAAGAACUUUCCAUGUUACAGGACCCAGAGAAAAAAUUAAUCUUCCAAAUCUCAAGAAAAGGUGGUAAGCCACUAAAUUUAAAACUGUUUAUGGAUUAGAAACCAAAUAAAUAAGAUGAUUUUAAAUGCCA